rnacentral:tRNA from 3 species
AACGAUGUAGCUCAAUGGUAGAGCAAAGCGAGGCGACGUAGGUUCGAUUCCUACCAUCGUUA